rnacentral:rRNA from 1 species
UACGGAGGGGGCUAGCGUUGUUCGGAAUUACUGGGCGUAAAGCGCGCGUAGGCGGACCUGCAAGUCGGGGGGUGAAAGCCCGAGGCUCAACCUCGGAACUGCCUUCGAUACUGCGGGUCUCGAGUCCGGGAGAGGUGAGUGGAAUUCCUAGUGUAGAGGUGAAAGUUGUAUAUAUUAGGAAGAAACACCCAGUGGCGGAAGGCGGCUCACUGGCCCCGGGUACUGACGCUGAGGCGCGAAAGCGUGGGGAGCAAACAGG